CUUGAGGUUGACAAAUGAACGGUUUCGAAUCGAUGUAUACGAACAAUAUUUCACGCGCUGUGUGUCGAUUCAAAGCCGUACAUUUGUCAACUUUCAC
rnacentral:pre_miRNA from 1 species